AUAAAGGUUGUUAAUCCACCAAAUAUGGGAUGAAUGUUCAGAGAAAGGUUGCACAUUAAAAAGGCCUUCUCCUAAUACGGAUCGAUGCACUGCUGCUAUUUGUUGCUUUUACCUUGUGACAAACAAGGGAGCACAAUACAUGUAAGCCAGAGGGGAGGGCAAGAGGUGGAGAUCAGGGACAGACUCCAUAUCAAAUGACUUCUGUUUUAUUUACGUGAUAAAUAGCGGUAUGUUUCAUGUAUUAAAUAUUUGUCAUGUCUGUCAAUGUACAGGUAAAUUAUAUUUUUGAUUUGUGUAUUGGUUUUUCUUGCCUUCAACAGUUUAAAUUAAAAUAUGUAACAUGAAAAAAGAAAAUUCCUCUAAGAUGGAAGAUAACAACGGUGACAUCAACAUGAAAAGAUUUUACAAAUGAACUCAAAUGUGUAUUUGAGUUUAAAGAAGCAGCAAAAGGAUUAAGCGAGGCCAUUAUAAAUACACGAUGGUGUUCAAUGUACCAUAGGUUCAGUGAACACUGGUCAGAUGGAGGGAUGGCUUGCAUGAUGAAGUGUCACAGCUGUUGAUGUGAGAGCUCAAGUUCAGGGUCUUGUGAUCACUCAACACUGUCCUGCCCAGCUACGUCUACACCCUUUGUCUCAUACUGUCCUCGUGGCAUGAAUCCCUUUCCUUUGGCCUUGAGGACAAAGAUAACCUCGUGAAAUUCUUGUCUCGAUAUUUUCCCCCUAAUUGAGAAGGACACCCUCUGAUGGCACCAUUACAGCAGAGCAGUGCGAUGCUAUGACUGAUGGAGGGAAACAGGUGCACGGCAGCGCAUGUGUAGUUUUAUGUUGUGAUUUUAUCAUUUUAUUUUGAAUUUGUCCUUUGUUCAUUAGCAUCAGCUAAUCAUCCAUUAUAUGGAGUUGGAAUUGAAAGACUAUUAGAAGAGAAAGAAAUUAAGACAAAAAAACAGAAUAAUCGUCUUCACAUUUUUUUAAACACUUAAAAACACUUUUUUGUUUCAUUUAUUUAAGACCAUAAUGAAACCUUUGAUAACUUCAUCAGAAUUUUCUUAACGCUGCUGAACUCAUCUUUAUUCUCAGCUGUCUUAAUCCUUGUGGAAACUCCAUCUGUGGAGUGGUCGCCUCCCUGCCUUCACCUCAUGAGACCCCGGCCAUGAGGUCACCUCUGAAGAUAAAAAAACUUUGAGGGCACAACGAGGUGUGACCAACGUCUGUGGUAGGAGCUAAACAAAGACAAAAUGUGAACGUCGCGAGAGAGGAUCAGUCUGUGGUUGGAAGGGUGAAGUUGCUGUAGAGAAGAAAACUACAGCAUAGGAGAAGAAAAGGCUCCUAAGUGUCAUCGGAGUACUUUACUCCUCAUCGAGGCCUUUCUGUGGUGAGGAAUGAAAAGAGAGUAGCAAAAAGAGACAGAUUAGAAAGGAAGACCAGCAGGAGGCGACACUUGACACGGAAAGUCAUACACGUCUGUAAAACCUUUGUACAACUGGACUCAAACUGUAUUUUGGAGUCUCGAGACCUUCAUAGAAAUUAAAUAUUAAAUAAAUUAAAAAAAUUAUUACACACUGAUUUCAUUUUUUGCUAUAAAUACAAUCACUAAGGCCUGUAUUUUAAACGCAAUACCUUAAUGUAGUAAAUGUAACUGGCGCCCUCUGCUGUUGCGGUCGUGUAGCGACCCCAAACCACUAUCAGCAUACGCCAAGGGUUAGACCCCGGUUAUAAAAAACCAUGUCCUAUAUUUGGGUCAAUACGGUAGUUAUAACUGGUAUAUUAGUUUGAAUUUUGAUUUGAAUGUAUAAUUGGUAUUUUUGCAAUCAGUAUUGUCCAGAAAAAUAAAAUUGUUUUUGUCAAA